rnacentral:rRNA from 1 species
GGGUUGUGAGGUUAAGUGACUAAGCGUACACGGUGGAUGCCUAGGCAGUCAGAGGCGAUGAAGGGCGUGCUAAUCUGCGAAAAGCGUCGGUAAGGUGAUAUGAACCGUUACAACCGGCGAUACCCGAAUGGGGAAACCCAGUGUGUUUCGACACACUAUCAUGUCAUGAAUACAUAGUGGCAUGAGGCGAACCGGGGGAACUGAAACAUCUAAGUACCCCGAGGAAAAGAAAUCAACCGAGAUUCCCCCAGUAGCGGCGAGCGAACGGGGAGGAGCCCAGAACCUGAAUCGGCUUGUGUGUUAGUGGAAGCGUCUGGAAAGUCGCGCAGCAAAGGGUGAUAGCCCCGUACACUAAAAUGCACAGGUCGUGAGUUCGAUGAGUAGGGCGGGACACGUGACAUCCUGUCUGAAUAUGGGGGGACCAUCCUCCAAGGCUAAAUACUCCUGACUGACCGAUAGUGAACCAGUACCGUGAGGAAAGGCGAAAAGAACCCCGGCGAGGGGAGUGAAAUAGAACCUGAAACCGUGUACGUACAAGCAGUGGGAGCACCUUCGUGGUGUGACUGCGUACCUUUGUAUAAUGGGUCAGCGACUUAUAUUUUGUAGCAAGGUUAACCGUAUAGGGGAGCCGUAGGAAACCGAGUCUUAACUGGGCGAAUAGUUGCAAGGUAUAGACCCGAAACCCGGUGAUCUAGCCAUGGGCAGGUUGAAGGUUGGGUAACACUAACUGGAGGACCGAACCGACUAAUGUUGAAAAAUUAGCGGAUGACUUGUGGCUGGGGGUGAAAGGCCAAUCAAACCGGGAGAUAGCUGGUUCUCCCGAAAGCUAUUUAGGUAGCGCCUCGUGAACUCAUCUUCGGGGGUAGAGCACUGUUUCGGCUAGGGGGCCAUCCCGGCUUACCAAACCGAUGCAAACUCCGAAUACCGAAGAAUGUUAUCACGGGAGACACACGGCGGGUGCUAACGUCCGUCGUGAAGAGGGAAACAACCCAGACCGCCAGCUAAGGUCCCAAAGUCAUGGUUAAGUGGGAAACGAUGUGGGAAGGCAUAGACAGCCAGGAUGUUGGCUUAGAAGCAGCCAUCAUUUAAAGAAAGCGUAAUAGCUCACUGGUCGAGUCGGCCUGCGCGGAAGAUGUAACGGGGCUAAACCAUGCACCGAAGCUGCGGCAGCGACGCUUAGGCGUUGUUGGGUAGGGGAGCGUUCUGUAAGCCGUUGAAGGUGGCCUGUGAGGGUUGCUGGAGGUAUCAGAAGUGCGAAUGCUGACAUAAGUAACGAUAAAGCGGGUGAAAAGCCCGCUCGCCGGAAGACCAAGGGUUCCUGUCCAACGUUAAUCGGGGCAGGGUGAGUCGACCCCUAAGGCGAGGCUGAAAAGCGUAGUCGAUGGGAAACAGGUUAAUAUUCCUGUACUUGGUGUUACUGCGAAGGGGACGGAGAAGGCUAGGCUAGCCGGGCGACGGUUGUCCCGGUUUAAGCGUGUAGGGGGUGUGACCUGGUAAAUCCGGUUACAUACUAACCCUGAGGCGUGAUGACGAUGCACUACGGUGCAGAAGUAGUUGAUGCCCUGCUUCCAGGAAAAGCCUCUAAGCUCUAGGUAACAUUGAAUCGUACCCCAAACCGACACAGGUGGUCAGGUAGAGAAUACCAAGGCGCUUGAGAGAACUCGGGUGAAGGAACUAGGCAAAAUGGUGCCGUAACUUCGGGAGAAGGCACGCUGGCAUGUAGGUGAAGUCCCUUGCGGAUGGAGCUGAAGCCAGUCGAAGAUACCAGCUGGCUGCAACUGUUUAAUAAAAACACAGCACUGUGCAAACACGAAAGUGGACGUAUACGGUGUGACGCCUGCCCGGUGCUGGAAGGUUAAUUGAUGGGGUCAGCCGCAAGGCGAAGCUCUUGAUCGAAGCCCCAGUAAACGGCGGCCGUAACUAUAACGGUCCUAAGGUAGCGAAAUUCCUUGUCGGGUAAGUUCCGACCUGCACGAAUGGCGUAAUGAUGGCCAGGCUGUCUCCACCCGAGACUCAGUGAAAUUGAACUCGCUGUGAAGAUGCAGUGUACCCGCGGCAAGACGGAAAGACCCCGUGAACCUUUACUAUAGCUUGACACUGAACAUUGAGCCUUGAUGUGUAGGAUAGGUGGGAGGCUUUGAAGCGUGGACGCCAGUCUGCGUGGAGCCAUCCUUGAAAUACCACCCUUUAAUGUUUGAUGUUCUAACUCGGCCCCAUAAUCUGGGGUGAGGACAGUGUCUGGUGGGUAGUUUGACUGGGGCGGUCUCCUCCCAAAGAGUAACGGAGGAGCACGAAGGUUAGCUAAUCACGGUCGGACAUCGUGAGGUUAGUGCAAAGGCAUAAGCUAGCUUGACUGCGAGAGUGACGGCUCGAGCAGGUACGAAAGUAGGUCUUAGUGAUCCGGUGGUUCUGAAUGGAAGGGCCAUCGCUCAACGGAUAAAAGGUACUCCGGGGAUAACAGGCUGAUACCGCCCAAGAGUUCAUAUCGACGGCGGUGUUUGGCACCUCGAUGUCGGCUCAUCACAUCCUGGGGCUGAAGUAGGUCCCAAGGGUAUGGCUGUUCGCCAUUUAAAGUGGUACGCGAGCUGGGUUUAGAACGUCGUGAGACAGUUCGGUCCCUAUCUGCCGUGGGCGUUGGAAGAUUGAGAGGGGUUGCUCCUAGUACGAGAGGACCGGAGUGAACGCACCACUGGUGUUCGGGUUGUCAUGCCAAUGGCAUUGCCCGGUAGCUAAGUGCGGAAAAGAUAAGCGCUGAAAGCAUCUAAGCGCGAAACUUGCCUCAAGAUGAGUCUUCCCUGGGCCUUUAAGGUCCCUGAAGGAACGUUUAAGACUAAGACGUUGAUAGGCUGGGUGUGUAAGUGCAGCGAUGCAUUGAGCUAACCAGUACUAAUGAUCCGUGAGGCUUAACCUUACAACACCGAAGGUGUUUUAG